rnacentral:lncRNA from 1 species
CUUAUGAACUACAAAACCCAAAAGGAUUCACCAACUACUAGACCUAGGCUCUGAUACCACUUGAAGGGAUUAUUUUGAAAAACAUGUUCAUUUGAAUAACAUCUAUAGCAUGCAAUUAACAAAUUAAAGGCGGAAUCAUGCUUGUAUGCAUUCAAAAACAAAACAUUACCCAUGAAAUUCAAAGCCUAGUAGAUUGGUGAACCAAUAAUCAACUCAAGACAAAGUGAGUUGAAAUUAAUACCUUU